rnacentral:rRNA from 1 species
UCAGGACGAACGCUGGCGGCGUGCUUAACACAUGCAAGUCGAACGAUGAACCACUUCGGUGGGGAUUAGUGGCGAACGGGUGAGUAACACGUGGGCAAUCUGCCCUUCACUCUGGGACAAGCCCUGGAAACGGGGUCUAAUACCGGAUACUGACCCUUGCAGGCAUCUGCGAGGUUCGAAAGCUCCGGCGGUGAAGGAUGAGCCCGCGGCCUAUCAGCUUGUUGGUGAGGUAAUGGCUCACCAAGGCGACGACGGGUAGCCGGCCUGAGAGGGCGACCGGCCACACUGGGACUGAGACACGGCCCAGACUCCUACGGGAGGCAGCAGUGGGGAAUAUUGCACAAUGGGCGAAAGCCUGAUGCAGCGACGCCGCGUGAGGGAUGACGGCCUUCGGGUUGUAAACCUCUUUCAGCAGGGAAGAAGCGAAAGUGACGGUACCUGCAGAAGAAGCGCCGGCUAACUACGUGCCAGCAGCCGCGGUAAUACGUAGGGCGCAAGCGUUGUCCGGAAUUAUUGGGCGUAAAGAGCUCGUAGGCGGCUUGUCACGUCGGUUGUGAAAGCCCGGGGCUUAACCCCGGGUCUGCAGUCGAUACGGGCAGGCUAGAGUCGUA